rnacentral:rRNA from 1 species
GAGGUCUGACCCCGCCGGAGCCGGCGUGGCGCCUCGGGUGACCGCUUGGGGUCGCCGUGCAACCCGGUCAUCAUGCUCCGGCGCUCGGCCGCCCCUCCCUGUGACGAGGCCCCCAGCGCCAGCAGCAGAUUCAAGCUCUUCUACGACGACGGCGCCGGAUCCGGCCUCCGCCCGCUGCCCGAGAGCAUGUCCGACUUCCUCAUGGGGCCCGGAUUUGAGCGGCUCCUCGAGCAGCUCGCCCAGAUCGAGGCCGGCGGCUUCGGCGCCAUCCUCCCCUACGACAACCCGCUGGCCUGCAAGGCCGCCGUCGAGUCCAUGCCCACCAUCGUCGUCGCCGCCUGCCCUGGCAACGUCGGCGCCGACUCCCACUGUGCCGUCUGCAAGGAGGCCUUCGAGCUGGGCGACUAGGCCAGGGAGACGCCCUGCAGCCACAUUUACCACCAGGACUGCAUCCUGCAAUGGCUCGCGCUGUGUAACUCGUGUCCCGUGUGCCGGCACGAGCUGCCCACAGAUGUGGCGCAGCCUGCUCCGGCAAGUGACCUCGGCGCCGCCGACGACCGGGGCAGCAACACUGGCGAGGCUGGCAGUGAGGAGGAGACGACGGUCGGGUUGACGAUUUGGCGGCUCCCAGAUGGAGGCUUUGCUGUUGGGAGGUUCGCUGGUGGAAGAAGGGACGACGAGAGGGAGUUCCCGAUUUUGCUGUAA